AUGGGGCAGCUGGAUCUCAUGCAGCAGGAACGCCAAAUCCAGAUCCGUGAUGGGUCGACUUCUUCAUUGGCCAUAAGAAACGGGCCACCUUGCCAAGAAGAUGAUGAUAAUUAUCAUGAUGGCAAAAUAAGGGAGUAUUCAGGGACCGUACUUCCAGAGGACAUUUGGUGUCAUAUACAUUCACUAAUGACGCCGCGAGAUGCUGCCCGUGCUGCCUGCGUGUCUCGUGCCUUUCGACGUUCGUGGAGAUGCUACUACCCCAACCUCAUAUUUAAUAGUCAAACAAUAGGCCUAUCACGGGAUGACAUGUAUUUCACCCACAAAGUUGAUCAGAUUUUGGAACAGCACUCAGGCAUUGGCGUGAAGACAUUCGAGAUUGAUUGCUCCUGUUGCGACAAGCUCAAGGCUUAUGAAGCCUAUGAAUAUCUCCAUAGGUGGCUUCAGAAAGUGGUUACACUGGGCAUUGAAAAACUCACCCUUGUGAUGCGUGAGAAGGAGGCAGUCUACUUCCCAUGCCCAGUUCUAUCCAAUGGGAAUGGAAGCUCGAUCUGGUAUCUUCACCUUGUUAACUGUGUCUUCCAUCCUACAGUUAGCCUUGGGUGCUUGGGAAACCUGACAGUGUUGCAUCUUGAGUCUGUGCGAAUUACGGGGUGCGAGUUAGGGUGCCUUCUUCCCAGCUGUGUUGUGUUGGAGCAGUUGAAACUCAGGAGAUGCUACCAGAUAACUUUCCUAAAGAUACCUUCCCGGCUGCAGCGACUCAGCUACCUGCAGGUGUUAGAAUGCCACAGACUGCAGACGAUAGAGAACAAAGCUCCAAAUAUUAAUAGUUUUCACUUUAUAGGUGACCGAGUUGAGUUCUUACUUGGGGAGUCAUUGCGAUUGAAGAAACUAGAUGUGCUAUGUUACCUCUUCCUCAGAUAUGCACUUGAUGAGCUUCCGUCCAUUGUGCCGAAUCUUGAAACUCUUAGCAUACAUUCAUGGUGUGAGGUGGUCAAUACAACACUGACGCUCUCGCCUUCCAAGUUCCUCUAUCUGAAAUACUUGAGCAUUUAUAUUAAUGGGUCUUGCGAUUGUCUUUCUCUGGUUUAUUUUCUUGGUGCUGCUCCGUCCUUGGAGACAUUCAAACUGCGCGUACCGAUACAGCUACUACAAUCCAUAGAUGAAUUGCUUUCUGAAGACCCCUCACAUCUAAGGCAGAUUCCAGGAUACCGCCAUGACAAGCUCCGGAGAGUGAGCAUCUGUAGGUUCCCCAGUUCAAAGAGCGUGGUUGAGUUGACGUCCCAUAUUCUGGAAAAUUCAGCAUCACUCGAGUGCCUUACAUUGAGCACCACCAAUGAUAGUUUCAGGUGUUCUGAUGAUCGAUCUGCUAAAUGCUCCUGCUCUAUCGGACCCAUGGAAGCCCAUAAAGCAGCCUUGGUAAUCGAAAGAUACAUCAGGGGGAAAGUUCCCUCUACAGUUCAGCUAGAUGUGGUGGAGCCUUGCAUGCAGCCUUUGCCAUGA
rnacentral:rRNA from 1 species